rnacentral:lncRNA from 1 species
CGCUGCGUCCUCCUCGGCGCUUCCCAGCGCGCCGGAUCCCGGGGAAUUGCGCCAGGCCCCGCCCCGCGCCUGCCUCUGGGCUUCCUGGGACUUGUAGUCCGCGCCCCCGGCGGGCCGGGCCAGGGGGGUGCGCGGGGUGUUCACACUGGGCCGGGGUGCGGGACCCUCCCGCCGGCCAGGCCCCGCGCCUGCCAGCUCCUGCCCGGGUUCUCGCGGCGGCCCCCGCGCCCCGGCACGGGGGAGGCUGCCCGGGAGUUCGCCCGCCGCGUUGUUGUUUGUUUCCAAGCGGCUGGCUCCAGGAGCCUCUGCGACUCGCCAGUGUCCCACGGCCUCGCUUGGUUGGCGAGCCUCCCCUUCCCGCGUUUGGUUAAUGAAGCUCAUAUGUAUCUCCAGCUGUGACCUCACCCCUGAAUAACAAAUUCACAUCCACCUGCAUCCUCAACAUUUCCUGAAGCCUAGCUGGUGUUUAAGUCCAGCAUGUCGCCAGCUGAACUCCUGCCAUCCCUUCCGGCUACAUCUCCUAAAAAUCUUCUCCAUCCCAGUCAUCGGCAACUCCAGGCCACCAUUUGCUUAGGCGAAAAAUUCAGUGCUGUCCUUUUUGCUUAUCAUUCUCUCAUAUCCCAAAUGGUGUCAGCUCCACCUUCAGAGGAUCCAGAAUCCCACGACUUCUCACCACUCGGCUGAAGUCAGGAUCAUCUAGCUGGACCAUCACUAGAUCUAACAAUUGUAAUAGCUCACUGCUUCCUACCUGGUGAAACUUACAAAACCUACGUCCGGACUUGUCAUGCCUUUUCUCAAAACCCUCCAAUGACUCCCAUCUGGCCUCGCCCCACAGGCAUGAGCUCUUAUCAAGAGCUGCUCAGGGGCUGAGCUAUUCCCCUACUUGUAAGCUAACAAGUUAGCCUGCCACAAUUCAUGGAUGCUGGCAGAAGACAUGAGACUCCCAGAUCAGAAACAAAGGACUUUGUUAUUCAUAAUAGUAGCAUUAGCUGGAAUAUCAGCAUUUUCAUGCACCAGUUUACUGAGACCCAAUUCCCACGGGCAACAUGAGGCCCAGGUGAAGCCUGUACUUGGAGUCAGCUGCCCUAUACGAGUUUUAUAAGUUUUUAACCCUUAGCUUAGAGAGCUCAGAUCUUUCAUACGGGCAGUAAGUGUGUCUGCCCUUCACUCCAGAGGGAGACACUGUUUUUAUCAUGGACAGUAAGCAUGUCUACCCUUGACUGUGGCAGAAAACAUUAUCUCUGUCUUCCAAGGCUGUUUGCUCUGCAAACAUCCUUGAGAAUAUAGUCCAGAGCAAAGGCGCCUGGUGUCUCUACCUGUGUACCUGUGUUACCCAGCAAGGGCUGCCAUAAAAACCUUCCACAGGCCUGGCAUGAUGCCUCAUGCCUAUAAUCCAACACUUUGGGAGGAUUGCUUGAGCCCAGGAGUUCGAGACCAGCCUGGGCAACAUGGUGAAACCCCAUCUCUACAAAAAAUACAACAAUUAGCCAGGCACAGUGGUGUGAGCCUCUAGUCCCAGCUACUCCGGAGGCUGUGCAGGGAGGAUGGCUUGAGCCCAGGAGGUCAAGGUUGCAGUAAGCUGUGAUCAUACCACGGCACUCUAGCCUGGAGGACAGAGCAAGACCAUCUCAAAAAAAAAAAGGCCGGGCGUGGUGUCUUACGCCUGUAAUCCCAGCACUUCGGGAGGCCGAGGCAGGCGGAUCACGAGGUCAGGAGAUCGAGAUCAUCCUGGCUAACAUGGUGAAACCCCGUCUCUACUAAAAAUACAAAAAAAUCAGCCGGGUGCAGUGGCGGGUGCCUGUAGUCCCAGCUACUCGGUAGGCUGAGGCAGGAGAAUGGCGUGAACCCGAGAGGUGGAGGUGGAGCUUGCAGUGAGCCAAGAUCGUGCCACUGCACUCCAGCCUGGGUGACAGAGGGAGACUCCUUCUCAAAAAAACAAAACAAAACAAACACACAAAAAAAACUUCCACAGGCUGCAUGGCUUUAACAGAAAUCCAUUUUCUCAAAAUGCAGGAGGCUCAAAGAGCCAAGAUCAAGCUGUUGCAGGGUUGGUUUCCCCUUGGCUUGUGGAUGCUGCCUUCUCACUGUGUUCUCACAGGGUCUUUCCUCUGUGUGUCUGUGUCCCCAUCUCCCCUUCUUAGAAGAACUCCAUUCAUAUUGGAUUAGACCCCUUCCUAAUGACAUCGUCUUAGCUUAGUCAUCUCUUUCAAGGUCCAAUUUCUGAAUAUAGUCAUAUUCUGGGGUACUGGGAGUUAGGACUUUAAUAUAUGAAUUUUGGGGACAUAAUUCAGCCUAUGACUGUCUCUCUCGCCACAGCAUCUCUACUUCUAGCCUGUUCUCUCCUCUUCGGCCACACUGGCCUCCUUGUUGCCCCCUAAAUAUACCCAUCACACCCCCACCCUUGUCAUCUGCUUCUCUGUCUCCCUGACCCCUUCACCAGGACUUUUGUUUCCUUAUGUAUUUGCUCCAAAGCCACCUUCUCAAUGCGACUUUCCCUAACAUCUUCUCUAAAAUGGCAUCCCUGUUCCCCAACACUUCAUGUCCCCCUUCCUUGCCACAGUAGAAAGAAUAAUGGUCCCCUAAGAUGCCCACAUCCUAAUCCCUGAAACAAGUAGAUAUGUUAGUCUAAGUGGCAAAGGACUUUACAGGUCUGAUUAAAUUAAGGACCUUGAGAUGAAGAUAUUAUCCCAGAUUAUCUGAGUGGGCCCAGUGUAAUCACAGGAGGCCUUAUACGAGGAAGGCAGGAGGGUCAGAAUCAGAGGAGAUAUGAUGACAGGUGUAAGAGAGAGAGAGAGGAGAGGAAGGCAAGGGAGAGAGAGAGAUUGGAAGAUGCCGCUGGGCUGACUUUGAAGAUGCAGGAGGGGGCCACCAGCCAGGGAAUGUGGGCUGCCUCUACAAACUGGAAAAUGGAAGAAAACAGAUUCUCUCCUAGAGAUUCCAGAAGGAUCACAUCCCUAUUGACCCAUUUUUGGACUUCUGACCUCCAGAACUAUAAGAUAAUAAAUUUUUGUCAUUUAAGCCACUAAAUCUGUGCUAAUUUGUUAUAGCAGCAAUGGGAGAUUAAUGCACUUGCUUUAUGUUUUUCUUAGCACUUAUUCCCGUCUAACUCACCAUAUACUUUAGUUAUUUAUCUUGUGUAUGGUUUGUGUCCCCCAUUAAAACAUAAGCUCCACAAGGGCCAGGAUUAAUUUUUGUCUGUUUUGCUCCCCAUUCUAUUCCAGUGUCUAUAACAGUAGCUGACACAUAGUAGCUACCCAAUAAAUGUUUGGCAAACAAACAGCUUCCCCAUUAAAUUAUAAUUGUCAUGAAGACAAGGACCAUAUUUCUCUUGCACAGGGCUUGGAGCAUUAUAAUGCAACAAACGUUCAAUAAAUUAA